rnacentral:rRNA from 1 species
UACAGAGGGUGCGAGCGUUGUUCGGAAUUAUUGGGCGUAAAGGGCGCGUAGGCGGUGCGGUAAGUCACCUGUGAAAUCUCCUGGCUCAACUGGGCAGGGUCGGGCCAAACGGCAGAGCUGGAGGCUGGUAGGGGGAAGCGGAAUUCCCGGUGUAGUGGUGGAAUGCGUAGAGAUCGGGAGGAACACCAGUGGCGAAGGCGGCUUCCUGGACCAGACCUGACGCUGAGGCGCGAAAGCGUGGGGAGCGAUCCGG